UGUCUGGUCUUUACUUAGACUUAGACUUAGAGACUUACACUGACUUUAUUGUCAUUUUGCAUGCACAGGGUGUAUACAGAACGAAAUUACGUUGCAUACAGCUCAGGACAUUGUUUUGAGCUUUCAAUGUUGUGAGGUUACUCCAGAAUAAAUUAAAAUACA